GAUGAACGCUGGCGGCGUGCCUAAUACAUGCAAGUCGAGCGAACGGACGAGAAGCUUGCUUCUCUGAUGUUAGCGGCGGACGGGUGAGUAACACGUGGAUAACCUACCUAUAAGACUGGGAUAACUUCGGGAAACCGGAGCUAAUACCGGAUAAUAUUUUGAACCGCAUGGUUCAAAAGUGAAAGACGGUCUUGCUGUCACUUAUAGAUGGAUCCGCGCUGCAUUAGCUAGUUGGUAGGGUAACGGCUUACCAAGGCAACGAGGCAUAGCCGACCUGAGAGGGUGAGCGGCCACACUGGAACUGAGACACGGUCCAGACUCCUACGGGAGGCAGCAGUAGGGAAUCUUCCGCAAUGGGCGAAAGCCUGACGGAGCAACGCCGCGUGAGUGAUGAAGGUCUUCGGAUCGUAAAACUCUGUUAUUAGGGAAGAACAUAUGUGUAAGUAACUGUGCACAUCUUGACGGUACCUAAUCAGAAAGCCACGGCUAACUACGUG
rnacentral:rRNA from 1 species